AGUGAACGCUGGCGGUAGGCCUAACACAUGCAAGUCGAGCGGCAGCACAGUAAGAGCUUGCUCUUACGGGUGGCGAGUGGCGGACGGGUGAGGAAUACAUCGGAAUCUACUUUUUCGUGGGGGAUAACGUAGGGAAACUUACGCUAAUACCGCAUACGACCUACGGGUGAAAGCAGGGGAUCUUCGGACCUUGCGCGAUUGAAUGAGCCGAUGUCGGAUUAGCUAGUUGGCGGGGUAAAGGCCCACCAAGGCGACGAUCCGUAGCUGGUCUGAGAGGAUGAUCAGCCACACUGGAACUGAGACACGGUCCAGACUCCUACGGGAGGCAGCAGUGGGAAUAUUGGACAAUGGGCGCAAGCCUGAUCCAGCCAUACCGCGUGGGUGAAGAAGGCCUUCGGGUUGUAAAGCCCUUUUGUUGGGAAAGAAAAGCAGCAGGUUAAUACCCCGCUGUUCUGACGGUACCCAAAGAAUAAGCACCGGCUAACUUCGUG
rnacentral:rRNA from 1 species